rnacentral:rRNA from 1 species
UACGGGGGGAGCAAGCGUUGUUCGGAUUUACUGGGCGUAAAGGGCGCGUAGGCGGCGCAACAAGUCACUUGUGAAAUCUCCGGGCUUAACUCGGAACGGUCAAGUGAUACUGUUGUGCUAGAGUGCGGAAGGGGCAACUGGAAUUCUCGGUGUAGCGGUGAAAUGCGUAGAGAUCGGAAAGAACACCAACGGCGAAAGCACUCUGCUGGGCCGACACUGACACUGAGAGACGAAAGCUAGGGGAGCGAAUGGG